CAACGACAAACCAUUACACCCCAACGAAUCAAAAAAAAAACAAGCAAAACGGCACCUGGGCAUGGCUAAACAUACUUGGCACUAUGUUUACCCCCUUUUCAGUGCCCAGGUGUCUCCAUUAUUAACUCCCCCAUAAAAGAAAACAAAAAAAAACUUAGUGAACACGGCGGUCACGAGAGGCAUUACAGUGGCCUGCCCAUCCGGGAGUGUUCAUUAUAGCUACCGCUGGCUUCCCCAACUCUAGCGCAUACUGGAAGCUAGUGGUUUUUCAUGGUUGGUGGCCACCAUGUAGGCGAAAAGGCCACUUUCUAAGGCCCUUCCACGUAAAUUUUUUUUUUGCUGUCGACUUGGGAUUUUUCGUUUACAAGGCCCGCAACAAAACUCCAGGGCUGACAAGGCCCGAAGGCAGGACUGGUGUGCGGGCUGUAUCGAACUAUGUGACGUCCGGGAUCAAGCCCAACGUGGGGAACUCUCACACCCUGAGAUUAAGCCGGGCUCUGAGUUUACUUUUAAUUUAGGGAAGUAUUUUUUUUUUUCUAUCACAUAAGUCCUUACUUGGUGUGUAUUUACAGGUCAGUCGACUGGGUAAAAAAAAAUUGGAACAGAAAUCUGGUCACUCAUGCGCGAAUAAGUCGGAAGAUUACGUGUGACGGUAUAACUUUGUCCAUCAACCUACAUAAGCGUUGGGCCGCGUUACAAAGACCGAACGGCAUCACCCUAAAUUGAUAUAACGGGCGACCAGGGACUGUAAACGCUGUGUAUGCUUUGCUUUCAUCAUCUAAUUCUAUCUGCCAAAAUGCAAACUUUAAAUCAACACUGCUGAUGUAGUAUGUCUCGUCGAUUCUGCUUAAGAUGCCCUCAAUAUUUUGGAGCGGAUACGCAUCCUUCACGGAGGUUUUUUUCGGAGAGGAGUGGUGUGUGCGGUUGCAGGCUAUUAUGGCCUUUAUGGAACUGAUGGAUCAAUCAAACCUUAACACAAAAUUAAAAUAAAAAAACAACAAUUUAAUACGUGCACUAUAACGCCUCCCACCGAAGACGUUACAGCUUUCCCAGAUCAUCUAAACGGAUACAUCUGUCCUCUGGUUAAAUCCAGAGCGGAUACCCUGUUAAUGAAUCUGUGUCACUUUUAAAUUUCAAACGGAUACUAUUCUCUACCAUCUAUCCAAGAUAAUUUGUGCGAAACCGCUUAACCUUCUGAUCGGCGGGUCACAAACUAUCUUGGUCUGUAUUUUUCAUCACAUACUUUCCAUGUAAAACACGGGCUCCAAACGUUUUUGUACAUCAAGUUCUGGCACCUGUCCAGAAUGGCUACAAAAACCCUUUGAAUUCGUCGUUCCAAACGCAAAGUAGUAAUGUUGGUCUAUUUUCUUUUACUUCUAGUGGUCUAUUUCCAAGUGUCUCGAUGGAAUACACUUCCUAACUUCUACAAACCCUAUGGUUUCUUUGGUUUGGGCGCCAUAUUGUUAUGUGUCCCUCUUAGGCAGCCUGAGAUGUCUUGAUAUCGCCGACCAGCUCUGCCGACUCCCAUUGGGGUGAGUCCCAUCCCAACAUCCGGCUCAGGAACAACAACAAUAAACUAUGGGAAUUCACCAACAAAAGAACAACACUAUAAUGAUGAACAUGAUACCAUCCAAAUCCAUAACGUCUGUUGACACACGAGCCAUUUAGCCGCCCUCCCUACCUUUGAUCAUCUCUUCCUUUUAUUGUCCUGAUGACCCCUUUUUCCGCACAAUCCCACACCACUUACCUCCCUUUUAUUCCCUCCUUAAUAACUCUUUAACACAUCCUCAUUCUUUUUCUUUCUUUAAACAUA